AUGGAGUGGAAGUGCAAGUUGUGUUCUGCAACUUCAAAUACCCGGGGACAAUUAUUUUGGCACUAUACUGUACUGCAUAGCCAAUAUUCAAGAGUGUCCCCCCUGCCAUGUCUCUAUGACAGUUGCAUUUGUACUUUUCCAUCAUUUGAAGCGAUGAAACGUCAUCUGUCAAGAUCUCAUAAUGAUUCAUGUAGAGUAGAUGCAACUGAAGGAGCAUGUGUUUUUUUUACAUGUCCUUUGUGUAACUUCAAGCAGCCCUUUUCUGAGGAAAUUCUAUUUGGUCAUUUGAGAAGUCAUUUACGAAGUCAUGAGAUGGUAGCAUGCCCAUUCAAUAACUGUAAUUACAGAACAAAUAGCUACUCAGCGUUUAAUGCACACAAAAGUAGAAAACAUGGUUUUGAUUCAGACUUUGGUGAAUGUGUUGUAUUGGCAGACAAUGAUAGUGCCCCAGUUGUUGUUGCAGCAGAAAGUCUUGGGGAACCUGCUGAAAGUCACAGUGCAGGGUCUGCAGACACAUUUGAUCUUGAUGAGGUAAACAGUCAGUUUGACACAGACACUUUAAGAGCCCAGUUGAACCAUAACUUGGCAUCAUUAUUCUUAAAGAUGCAAUCUAUUCUUCAUGUAUCUGACAUGGCAUCUCAGGAAAUAGUGGAACAUUUGACUCAGAUAUUUUCCUGGUCCCAACCGAUACUCAAACAUGACAUUAGAGAGGUCUUACAGAGUCAUGACAUCACUAUCAGUGAAACACUUCUAAAUGAGGUUGUCAGUACUGUUAUGGACAGUAAUGUUAUUGUCAGUGCCACAGCUAAGGGGAAGCAGUUAUCCUCAACCAAGAGAAGGAAAACCUUCAUCGAAAAUAAUUACCCUGUGGUAAAGCCUGUACAGUAUCUGCUACAGCCAGGACACACAGCAGUGCAUGUUCCCAUUCUUGAGAUGAUACAAAAAAUCAUACAGAUAUUCUGGACAAAAUUAAAGAAACAAAAGUGGCACAAAACAGUCAUUAUGUAA
rnacentral:lncRNA from 15 species